AGACUUCCAACUCAGAGAACCCAGGGAGAUACCUCUAUGAAGACAUCUUGCAGACUCCGUGCAUGGGUCCCAUCACUUCUGCCAUCUUCCAAGGUCCGAUCUUUCGUAAAGUUCCUGCUGGAGAUUCUGAAUUCCCUCAACAAUGGACUGUGACCCGGAAAUGACGAUAGGUUCCUACCUCUACCACCUAGUAGAUUCCCAAAAUGACUUUCAGAGGAGCAUCAGGUACUAUCAGGCCUGAAGGGAUGUUUUCAAGAGAA